GAUGAACGCUGGCGGCGUGCCUAAUACAUGCAAGUCGAGCGAACAGACGAGGAGCUUGCUCCUCUGAUGUUAGCGGCGGACGGGUGAGUAACACGUGGAUAACCUACCUAUAAGACUGGGAUAACUUCGGGAAACCGGAGCUAAUACCGGAUAACAUGUUGAACCGCAUGGUUCAACAGUGAAAGACGGUCUUGCUGUCACUUAUAGAUGGAUCCGCGCCGCAUUAGCUAGUUGGUAAGGCAACGGCUUACCAAGGCAACGAUGCGUAGCCGACCUGAGAGGGUGAUCGGCCACACUGGAACUGAGACACGGUCCAGACUCCUACGGGAGGCAGCAGUAGGGAAUCUUCCGCAAUGGGCGAAAGCCUGACGGAGCAACGCCGCGUGAGUGAAGAAGGUCUUCGGAUCGUAAAACGCUGUUAUUAGGGAAGAACAAAUGUGUAAGUAACUAUGCACGUCUUGACGGUACCUAAUCAGAAAGCCACGGCUAACUACGU
rnacentral:rRNA from 1 species